GGAUGUGUAGAACUAGAAAGAUAGCUGAUCAUCUUAAAUCAGGAGAGAUGUGAAAAAUUUGUGGAAAGAUAGAAAAGUUAAGAUGGAAAUUUAAGAGAGUAAGCGACACAUAGCCAGUGUUAUCAAGGCAAGAGGCGACACGAAGGCAAUAGGGUACCCAAUGGCCUGAGGUGAGAGGCGAGGCGGGGGCCUUUUUGAAGCAAAGCAUCGUAGCUUAAAUUGCCCAAAUUAUUUAUAUACAUAUAUAAUUUUAACAUAAAAAUGUCAUACUU
rnacentral:misc_RNA from 1 species